rnacentral:rRNA from 1 species
AGAGUUUGAUCAUGGCUCAGGACAAACGCUGGCGGCGUGCAUAAAACAUGCAAGUCUGACGGGCAGCAGCAAUGUUGUCAGUGGCGGACGGCUGAGUAACACGUAAGCGACCUACCCCCGAGUGGGGAGUAACUGCUCGAAAGAGUGGCUAAUACCGCAUACGCUCGCCCGUUCAGUCGGACGAGUAAAGCAGCGAUGCGCUUGGGGAUGGGCUUGCGGCCGAUUAGCUAGUUGGGGGGGUAACGGCCCACCAAGGCGAUGAUCGGUAGCUGGUCUGAGAGGAUGAUCAGCCAGACUGGGACUGCGACACGGCCCAGACUCCUACGGGAGGCAGCAGUUAGGAAUUUUGCGCAAUGGACGAAAGUCUGACGCAGCAACGCCGCGUGGGGGACGAAGGUCUUCGGAUCGUAAACCCCUUUUCUGGGGGAAGAUGAUGACGGUACCCCGGGAAUAAGCCCCGGCUAACUACGUGCCAGCAGCCGCGGUAAUACGUAGGGGGCGAGCGUUGUCCGGAUUUACUGGGCGUAAAGAGCGCGUAGGCGGUUCCUCAAGUCGUGCGUGAAAUACCCCGGCUCAACCGGGGGGAGCCGUGCGAUACUGGGGGACUCGAGGCCGGAAGAGGGAAGUGGAAUUCCCGGUGUAGUGGUGGAAUGCGUAGAUAUCGGGAGGAACACCAGUGGCGAAGGCGGCUUCCUGGUCCGGUCCUGACGCUGAGUGCGCGAAAGCGUGGGGAGCGAACUGAAUUAGAUACUCAGGUAGUCCACGCCGUAAACUAUGGGUGCUAGGUGUCGGGGGUAUCGACCCCUCCGGUGCCGGAGCUAACGCAUUAAGCACCCCGCCUGGGGAGUACGGCCGCAAGGCUAAAACUCAAAGGAAUUGACGG